GGCCAUGGGUCCUUUUAUAGGUGACAAGCCAGGCCACCUUUAGAAGCCGAAGGCGACUCCGAAACACAUGCAUAUUUGGUGGCCGAACAUGAGGUUCGGCGGCCGAACAUGAGGUUCGGCGGCCGAACAUGAUCCACAUUCGGAAGCCUAACGUGCCCCCUAAACCAUCCCACGUUCGGCAGCCGAACUUGAGGUUCGGCGGCCGAACUUGGAAAUGCCUCCAUGGUCCUUUUCAUUCAAAACUCAAUUUCUUUCUUACUUAAAACCAUAAAAUACACUAAAACAUUUUAUGAAAACAUGAUUUUACCCUUCUAGAGGGUUUCGACAUCUGAGAUUCCACCGGACGGUAGGAAUUCCGAUACUGG
rnacentral:lncRNA from 1 species